GAUGAACGCUGGCGGCGUGCCUAAUACAUGCAAGUCGAGCGAACGGACGAGAAGCUUGCUUCUCUGAUGUUAGCGGCGGACGGGUGAGUAACACGUGGAUAACCUACCUAUAAGACUGGGAUAACUUCGGGAAACCGGAGCUAAUACCGGAUAAUAUUUUGAACCGCAUGGUUCAAAAGUGAAAGACGGUCUUGCUGUCACUUAUAGAUGGAUCCGCGCUGCAUUAGCUAGUUGGUAAGGUAACGGCUUACCAAGGCAACGAUGCAUAGCCGACCUGAGAGGGUGAUCGGCCACACUGGAACUGAGACACGGUCCAGACUCCUACGGGAGGCAGCAGUAGGGAAUCUUCCGCAAUGGGCGAAAGCCUGACGGAGCAACGCCGCGUGAGUGAUGAAGGUCUUCGGAUCGUAAAACUCUGUUAUUAGGGAAGAACAUAUGUGUAAGUAACUGUGCACAUCUUGACGGUACCUAAUCAGAAAGCCACGGCUAACUACGUGCCAGCAGCCGCGGGUAUACGUAGGUGGGCAGCGUUAUCCGGAUUAAUUGGCGUAAGCGCGCGUAGCGGUUUUUUAGUCUGAUGUGAAAGCCCACGGCUCAACCGUGGAGGGUCAUUGGAAACUGGAAAACUUGAGUGCAGAAGAGGAAAGUGGAAUUCCAUGUGUAGCGGUGAAAUGCGCAGAGAUAUGGAGGAACACCAGUGGCGAAGGCGACUUUCUGGUCUGUAACUGACGCUGAUGUGCGAAAGCGUGGGGAUCAAACAGGAUUAGAUACCCUGGUAGUCCACGCCGUAAACGAUGAGUGCUAAGUGUUAGGGGGUUUCCGCCCCUUAGUGCUGCAGCUAACGCAUUAAGCACUCCGCCUGGGGAGUACGACCGCAAGGUUGAAACUCAAAGGAAUUGACGGGGACCCGCACAAGCGGUGAAGCAUGUGGUUUAAUUCGAAGCAACGCGAAGAACCUUACCAAAUCUUGACAUCCUUUGACAACUCUAGAGAUAGAGCCUUCCCCUUCGGGGGACAAAGUGACAGGUGGUGCAUGGUUGUCGUCAGCUCGUGUCGUGAGAUGUUGGGUUAAGUCCCGCAACGAGCGCAACCCUUAAGCUUAGUUGCCAUCAUUAAGUUGGGCACUCUAAGUUGACUGCCGGUGACAAACCGGAGGAAGGUGGGGAUGACGUCAAAUCAUCAUGCCCCUUAUGAUUUGGGCUACACACGUGCUACAAUGGACAAUACAAAGGGCAGCGAAACCGCGAGGUCAAGCAAAUCCCAUAAAGUUGUUCUCAGUUCGGAUUGUAGUCUGCAACUCGACUACAUGAAGCUGGAAUCGCUAGUAAUCGUAGAUCAGCAUGCUACGGUGAAUACGUUCCCGGGUCU
rnacentral:rRNA from 1 species